UCCAGCUAUGGUGAUAUGGUCCCGAGCACCAUUGCAGGGAAGAUCUUCGGUUCCAUCUGCUCUCUGAGUGGGGUGCUGGUCAUCGCCCUCCCUGUACCUGUCAUCGUCUCCAAC